GGGGCUUUAGCUCAGUUGGUAGAGCGCUGCCUUUGCAAGGCAGAUGUCAGGAGUUCGAAUCUCCUAAGCUCCACCG
rnacentral:tRNA from 3 species